rnacentral:rRNA from 1 species
AGAACCCCGGCGAGGGGAGUGAAAAAGAACCUGAAACCGUGUACGUACAAGCAGUGGGAGCACAGGUUUACCUGUGUGACUGCGUACCUUUUGUAUAAUGGGUCAGCGACUUAUAUUCUGUAGCAAGGUUAACCGAAUAGGGGAGCCGGAGGGAAACCGAGUCUUAAUUGGGCGUUAAGUUGCAGGGUAUAGACCCGAAACCCGGUGAUCUAGCCAUGGGCAGGUUGAAGGUUGGGUAACACUAACUGGAGGACCGAACCGACUAAUGUUGAAAAAUUAGCGGAUGACCUGUGGCUGGGGGUGAAAGGCCAAUCAAACCGGGAGAUAGCUGGUUCUCCCCGAAAGCUAUUUAGGUAGCGCCUCGUGAACUCAUCUCCGGGGGUAGAGCACUGUUUCGGCUAGGGGGCCAUCCCGGCUUACCAACCCGAUGCAAACUGCGAAUACCGGAGAAUGUUAUCACGGGAGACACACGGCGGGUGCUAACGUCCGUCGUGAAGAGGGAAACAACCCAGACCGCCAGCUAAGGUCCCAAAGUCAUGGUUAAGUGGGAAACGAUGUGGGAAGGCCCAGACAGCCAGGAUGUUGGCUUAGAAGCAGCCAUCAUUUAAAGAAAGCGUAAUAGCUCACUGGUCGAGUCGGCCUGCGCGGAAGAUGUAACGGGGCUAAACCAUGCACCGAAGCUGCGGCAGCGACACUCAGGUGUUGUUGGGUAGGGGAGCGUUCUGUAAGCCUGUGAAGGUGGCCUGUGAGGGUUGCUGGAGGUAUCAGAAGUGCGAAUGCUGACAUAAGUAACGAUAAAGCGGGUGAAAAGCCCGCUCGCCGGAAGACCAAGGGUUCCUGUCCAACGUUAAUCGGGGCAGGGUGAGUCGACCCCUAAGGCGAGGCCGAAAGGCGUAGUCGAUGGGAAACGGGUUAAUAUUCCCGUACUUGGUGUUACUGCGAAGGGGGGACGGAGAAGGCUAUGUUGGCCGGGCGACGGUUGUCCCGGUUUAAGCGUGUAGGUGUGUGUUCCAGGUAAAUCCGGUUCACUUUAACACUGAGGCGUGA